AGCAGCCGCGGUAAUUCCAGCUCCAAUAGCGUAUAUUAAAGUUGUUGCAGUUAAAAAGCUCGUAGUUGAAUUUUGGAUUCUUCCAAUUGGUCCAUCUUUUAGAUGAGUACUGGUUGUGUGGGGUCUAUCCGCCUGGUGAUACGUAAUGUCCUUUAUUGGAUGUUUCGGGUAGUCAGGACCUUUACCUUGAAAAAUUAGAGUGUUUAAAGCAGGCUUAUGCCGGAAUACAUUAGCAUGGAAUAAUAGAAUAGGACGAAGUUGUUUUAUUUUGUUGGUUUCUAGGACAACCGUAAUGAUUAAUAGGGAUAGUUGGGGGCAUUAGUAUUCAAUUGUCAGAGGUGAAAUUCUUGGAUUUAUUGAAGACUAACUACUGCGAAAGCAUUUGCCAAGGAUGUUUUCAUUAAUCAAGAACGAAAGUUAGGGGAUCGAAGACGAUCAGAUACCGUUGUAGUCUUAACCAUAAACUAUGCCGACUAGGGAUCGGGCGAUGUUGUUUCCAUGACUCGCUCGGCACCUUAUG
rnacentral:rRNA from 1 species